UGCCGCGCAACGUUCCCCGGGAGUGAGGGCGCGGGUGCUAAGGUCCGCGUCCGAGAGAGGAACAACUCAGACCACCGGCUAAGGCCCCCAAGGGGCGACUAAGUUGAAGACAAUAACGAAGUGGGAUCGCACGGACAGCUAGGAUGUUGGCUUGGAAGCAGCCAUUCAUUUAAAGAGUGCGUAACAGCUCACUAGUCGAGCGAUCCCGCGUGGAUAAUAAUCGGGCAUCAAGUCGUCCGCCGAAGCCGUGGAAUAUUAUCAGAAGAUGAUAUUGGUAGGGGAGCAUUCCGGCCGCCGUAGAAUCCGAGGCGUGAGCCUUGGUGGAGGUACCGGAAAAGCAAAUGUAGGCAUAAGUAACGAUAAUGGGGGCGAGAACCCCCCACGCCGGAAGGCCAAGGGUUCCUGAUCAACGCUAAUCGGAUCAGGGUAAGUCGGGACCUAAGAGGGAGCCGCGAGGCGUACUCGAUGGACAAACGGUAAAGAUUCCGUUACCCGGCGCAGGAGUGAAGUGGCGACGGAGAAGUGACACGCCCGCGUGCUGACGGAAAAGCACGUUAAACCGCGUAGGUAUACUUAGGGGAGGCAAAUCCCUCCUGAGUGCUGAAACGGGAAAGUACACCGAGCCCUGCGGGGCGAGGUGAUAGCGGCGGUAAUCAGGCUUCCGAGAAAACCCGCUAAACAUAUGCUGCGUCGGCCCGUACCGCAAACCGACACAGGUGGCCGGGUAGAAAAUACUGAGGCGCUCGAGAGAUUCACGGUUAAGGAACUAGGCAAAUUGACCCCGUAACUUCGGGAUAAGGGGUCCCCUCCUCCGGGAGGGGCGCAGAGAAUAGGUCCAGGCAACUGUUUAACAAAAACACAGGGCUGUGCGAAGUUUAAAGACGAAGUAUACAGCCUGACACCUGCCCGGUGCCGGAAGGUUAAGAGGAGACGUCAUCGCAAGAGAAGCGUUGAAUUGAAGCCCCGGUAAACGGCGGCCGUAACUAUAACGGUCCUAAGGUAGCGAAAUUCCUUGUCGGGUAAGUUCCGACCUGCACGAAUGGUGUAAUGAUCCGGACACUGUCUCAACCGUGAGCUCGGUGAAAUUGUAGUAUCGGUGAAGAUGCCGAUUACCCGCAACGGGACGGAAAGACCCCGUGAACCUUUACUGCAGCUUAGCAUUGGGACCGGGUGCGCGAUGUGUAGGAUAGUCAGGAGGCGAAGAAGUGAGCGCGCCAGCGUUUGCGGAGCCGUUGUUGAAAUACUGACCUUUGCGCAUUUGGUUUCUAACUUGCAAGAGCGAGGACACUGCUUGGCGGGUAGUUUGACUGGGGUGGUCGCCUCCAAAAGCGUAACGGAGGCUUCCAAAGGUGCGCUCAGACCGAUUGGUAACCGGUCGCGGAGUGUAAUGGCACAAGCGCGCUUGACUGGGAGGCCGACAAGCCGAUCAGGUAGGAAACUAGGGCAUAGUGAUCCGGCGGUUCCGCAUGGAAGGGCCGUCGCUCAAAGGAUAAAAGGUACUCCGGGGAUAACAGGCUGAUCCCUCCCAAGAGCUCAUAUCGACGGAGUGGUUUGGCACCUCGAUGUCGGCUCGUCACAUCCCGGGGCUGGAGAAGGUCCCAAGGGUUAGGCUGUUCGCCUAUUAAAGUGGCACGCGAGCUGGGUUCAGAACGUCGUGAGACAGUUCGGUCCCUAU
rnacentral:rRNA from 1 species